rnacentral:lncRNA from 1 species
AGGUUUGACACUUUUUAUAUUGAAUUUUUUUCUGAACUCAAUUUUUUCUGUUUGAUUAUGGGUUUAUGCUGAAUUGAAACAUAAUAUAUAUAUAGACUUUAAAAAAAAUCUUGCAUCUUUCGGGGGAUAUCAAUCCAGGCAAGUGGAAGGAUAUCAUGUUUACUGGAAGUGGUGCGGCCUAGUAAAAGUAGCAAACAGAAAGUAGAAAAAAA